rnacentral:rRNA from 1 species
UACGUAGGGGGCUAGCGUUGUCCGGAAUCAUUGGGCGUAAAGCGCGCGUAGGCGGCCAGAUAAGUCCGGUGUGAAAGUCACAGGCUCAACCUGUGAAUGCCGCUGGAAACUGUCUGGCUUGAGUCCGGAAGGGGCGAGUGGAAUUCCUGGUGUAGCGGUGAAAUGCGCAGAUAUCGGGAGGAACACCGGUGGCGAAGGCGGCGACCUGGGUAGAUACUGACGCUGAGGUGCGAAAGCGUGGGGAGCAAACAGGG